GAAAUCACUAAUUCAUUUUUCACGAUAUAUCACUUACAACCACAAAUCAAGAACAAAUGCAAUGCUGUAAACACUAAGCAACACUGUUGAAAUGCAGUAUCUCUGAUUGUAUAAAUGGACUUUCUCAAAACAAAACAAAAAAGUUGUACAAAUGGAGAAUUGAGAUUCGCCUCGAGGAGUAAAAGGAAUCAAAUGAAUGGCCAGGACAGACUUCUAUUAUGUGACAUACAACAAACUCUUCAAAGGCAGGAGAACAUAAGCGAUGCUCUAAUUGUCUAAAAUUUUGCGCGCCUGUGUGGCAAGAGAUAAUGCAUUUACGCGACCACAUCAGAGAAAAUAAUCAGGCAAAAUUAUACAGCUUCACUUCACACAAAUUGCCGCUUCAUCAACCCAAACAAGUGUUUGGGCCUUAGGCGUUACCUCGCAAAGUUUUCAGAUUUCGUUUGGCAACUCUGUUUGAAACCAAACCUCAGCUAUCAAAUAUCGUUUCUGAUUGCACUCGUCCAAUUAUUUGCAUUAGCUUGGUUCCGGCGGGACCAAUUUGAGGCUGCGCAUCCACUCGCAAAAGCUAGGGUCAUCAAAGUGGAUGAAGCAGCUCUUUAGCCUGGCCCUCAGUUCAGGAGCAAGGGUCCGUAGCUGAGGAAAUCUCGACUCCUGAAACAUGCAAAUGUGCUCAUGUUAACAAUUACAGCCUUGCUCACGAUUUUGUUUAUCAGUGACCAUGAAUCUAGCUGCCGUAAGAACCAUCAGCGAAAUAACCCAGCAGGGAUGAAUGCAGGCGAACCAGAAUGUCACUGCUAAGGUUAAGAGAAUCAUUACCUGCUCAUAAGUAGGGUCCUUGUGAGCUGGGAUCAGGCGUGAGACAAAGUAUCUAGCCUGAGAGCUCCCUUCCUGCGCCAGAACAAAGCAUUUACCUUGUGCAAGUCGUGUUUCAUGAUAGUUGCACAGUUAAUGAAUUUGGAAGUAUUGUCAGACUGAUUUGAAAUCUAACAACACAUGGGCUAUAAUAAGAUAUGAUACUAUGAUGAUAGCAAAGUGAUGAGCAGAAGAGUUGAUAAGAGAAAAGGAAGGAAAGCAGUUUAAAUCUUGGAAAUCAAAGUCAAGGUUGGGAACAGGGA
rnacentral:lncRNA from 1 species